AUGGCGCCCCCACCGCUCCACCUCCCGCCCUACUUAGCCCCAACCUGGCCCUCCGGGCGCCCCCGUCCGGCGCCAUCAUUGAGAUCACCGUCACCGCUCCACCCCUUCUCCGACCUCCUCACCGAGGCGCUCGGGGCCGAGAGCUUAGACCCCGACGACGUCGCCAUGGACGGCGUCCCCGCGGUCGAAGGCUGGGCCCAGUCUUGCAAGAGGCAGCAACACCACCUCCAGGAAGUCGACGACGAAGCCGACCAAGGGUUCGUGAUGCCGAGGCGGACGAGGAGCGGGAGGGCGUUCCCGCCGCCGAUAUCGGUCAUCGGCAAGGGCGGGCGGCCGUGGCUGACCCUCCGGGCGCACCGGGAGGACGGCCGGCUCGUGCUGCGGCAGAUGCGGCUGCCGUCGCAGGAGCUGCUCCAGUCAUGCAAGGAGGACGGGAGGUUCAAGCUGUUUAUGCACCCUGAGACCGGUGGCCGAUGCGUCGCCGGCGCGGGAUCACGCGCCACAACGGCCGUGGCGCAAGACUAG
rnacentral:rRNA from 1 species